GGCGAACGGGUGAGUAACACGUGGGUAAUCUGCCCUGCACUCUGGGAUAAGCCUGGGAAACUGGGUCUAAUACUGGAUAUGACCUUUCUCCUUAUGGGGUUUGGUGGAAAGUUUUUCGGUGUAGGAUGAGCCCGCGGCCUAUCAGCUUGUUGGUGGGGUGAUGGCCUACCAAGGCGACGACGGGUAGCCGGCCUGAGAGGGUGGACGGCCACAUUGGGACUGAGAUACGGCCCAG
rnacentral:rRNA from 1 species